AUUGAACGCUGGCGGCAUGCUUUACACAUGCAAGUCGAACGGCAGCACGGGCUUCGGCCUGGUGGCGAGUGGCGAACGGGUGAGUAAUAUAUCGGAACGUACCCAGAAGUGGGGGAUCACGUAGCGAAAGUUACGCUAAUACCGCAUACGAUCUAUGGAUGAAAGCAGGGGACCGCAAGGCCUUGUGCUCCUGGAGCGGCCGAUAUCUGAUUAGCUAGUUGGUGAGGUAAAGGCUCACCAAGGCGACGAUCAGUAGCUGGUCUGAGAGGACGACCAGCCACACUGGAACUGAGACACGGUCCAGACUCCUACGGGAGGCAGCAGUGGGGAAUUUUGGACAAUGGGCGCAAGCCUGAUCCAGCAAUGCCGCGUGAGUGAAGAAGGCCUUCGGGUUGUAAAGCUCUUUUGUCAGGGAAGAAACGGUAGAGGCUAAUAUCCUUUGCUAAUGACGGUACCUGAAGAAUAAGCACCGGCUAACUACGUG
rnacentral:rRNA from 1 species